CUUUUUUGAUCUCAUGACUUUUUAUGCGAUCGGAAAACGAAUGAGAUCAGAAAGAUAGGCGGACGACUUGACCAUAAGGUCGGAUGUUUCCGUGAGCAGUAAGCAGCGGAUCUCCCCUUUUUGGGGGAAAGCUGGAGAUCGGAAGGGCA